AUGCCAACUUCCCAAUUUCUCUUACCCCUCCUCCUCUAUCUAAUGGCAUCUCUCUCCUCCACAUGUAAUUCUUCUUGUUCUUUCUUAAUUUGUUUAUGUUACUUUUUGUACUUUGUCCAAUAUUCAUAGACUCAUUCAUUUUGGUUAAUUUUGUGGUUGCAGAUGGGGCACAACUCAUUCUAGUCAACAAUUGCAAUGAGAGUGUAUGGCCCGCUAUACUUGGUGGUGCAGGGCAGCCCACACCUAAAGAUGGAGGUUUCCAUCUGGGCAGUGGCGAGGAAGUUGUCAUGGAUAUGAAUGAGAAGUGGUCAGGAAGGAUUUGGGGCAGGCAAGGUUGUUCCUUUGAUGAUAAUGGAAAAGGCUCAUGUGACACUGGGGAUUGUUUUGGCCAAUUACAAUGCAAGGGAAAAGGUGGUAUUCCACCAGCAACGGUGGUCGAAAUGACACUCGGGACCUCUAAUUCGCCUUUACAUUACUACGAUGUGAGUUUGGUUGAUGGCUUCAAUUUGCCUGUAUCAAUGAAACCUGUUGGUGGUGGUGUCGGGUGUGGUGUUGCGUCGUGUGAGAUUGAUUUGAACAUUUGCUGCCCUUCGUCAUUGGAAGUAAAAAUAGGAGGCAAGGUGGUGGGAUGUAAGAGUGCCUGCUUGGCCAUGCAAUCGGCUAAGUAUUGCUGCACAGGGGACUAUGCUAACCCAAAGACUUGCAAGCCUACUCUAUUUGCACAUCUCUUUAAGGCUAUUUGCCCCAAGGCUUAUAGUUAUGCUUUUGAUGACUCUACCAGUCUCAACAAAUGCAGGGCUUCACGUUACGUUAUCACUUUCUGCCCUCCCUCGUAAGGAAUGAAGAAGGAAAUUAAGGGUGCUAUCACACUCUACAAGGAAGUUAAUGGCAUCAGGAAAGAAUUAAUGUCCUUGUGAUUUUUACUAUAGUUUUUAUUUGAAUUAUCGUUGGAUAUAUGUCUUUAAUUAUAUGUUUAUUAGCUGAUAGGAUUAAGGGAUCUCCUUUAUAAGGAUUUGUUAGAAGCAAAUGGAGGAUGGUCUAAGAAAUAUAUGGAUCUUGUGGCUAGGCAACUGAGUGUAUGUAAUAACAGGUCUAGUGCAUUUCCAGUUCAAUGCAUUGAGUUGAUUUUGGGAAUAUUGAGUAAUGAUUGUUUACUUGUUUGUACGUUUGGAUAGGGUGACGAGGAGAGGAGGAGGUGUAAAUAUGCUAAAAUUAGUGUAUUUACAAGAUGCUCCUCUUCUCCAUCUAUCCUAUCUAAACAUAGGGUAAAACUAGUAGAAAUUAAUUGGAUACAAGAUGGACAGACAAGUGCAAAUGGACAACUUUUGAUUUCAUAUAACCUGCAUACAGUGUGUCACUUUAGUUCAGUGAUUUUCAGCAUGUUAAAAUCUUCACCUAAAUCAUUCAUUACCCAUAAAAAAAAAUCUUGACAUAGAAGUCUUUUCCUUCUCCGUCAAGCUGUCGAAUCUUAUUUUCCCCACUUUAUGAACAACCAUUGGCCGCCUUAAAUUUUCUUGGAGAAAAGUCCUCAACUAUCUCUCAUAUGUUCUUUAUCUUACCAUUCUGAAAAUUUUACACAAUUAUUUUAGAUAAUAUGUUACUGGCUUUUAUAUCUGAACCAUAAUAACUCACAUUAAGUUACUAGCUUUUAUAUCUAAGCUGUAGUACCCGAAUGCUACUAGUACAGUAGUACAUACCACAAAAGAUCUACAUUUUACCAAGGAAAAAAAAAAUCAAAGAGAGCCUUAUAAGAGAAGCCACAUGUUUGUUUAAGAACUAGCAGAAUGAAAAACCAUAGAGAACAAAAUGCUCAGCUAUAUGUCACAAUCUGUGAGUUAGUGAUAGUGGAACUAGACCACCCCACUGAUGUGCUGACCAAGAAACCAAGGUAAGUGUUGCUAAAAAAAAGGUUGAAAUCAUGGUGGACCUUUCUUGUACGCGCUCAUAAGAAUAUAUGAUGACAGAAACCUGUCAAACUUAUUCAAGGACAUUCUCAAAAUAGAGUAUAUGCGAGUGUUUUCUCAAAAUAUGUGAUGACAGAAACCUGUCAAACUUACUCAAGGACAUUCUCAAAAUAGAGUAUAUACGAGUGUUUGAGCCAGUGGAAAGAGAAGAGUAAGAAGGACAAAAGAACAGAUUCUAGUGAGAACAAAAUUUAGCUACAAAAUUGAUUGUAACCUUAGGAUAUAAAUUCACUCAAUAUCUCUUUAUUGGAGAUAAAUUUUGACAAAUCCACAAUUGGAUUGCAUCUUCUUCUUAUAUUUUCCAUGUUUGCAAAAUUUUAAGAAAAUUAAAAAUCAAUAGCUAUAUCAUCAAUAAAUUUUUAAAUUGCAAGUUUUUGUAAUUUAAAAUUAUGCAUAAAAUAUAAGAUUAUAAAUUAUAUAGUAAAUGAUAUCCGAUUAAUAUAAAAAUUGACAUGUGCAUUAAGAGCGUAAAAAACAUGUAAUUCAACGGUUAGAUUUUUAAAAUAUGCAGUAAUAUUUAUUUUAUUAAGCGAGUUUGUAGUCUAAUGCUACAACUAAAUUUGUAACUAAACUUUGUCCUUCUAGUAAUGCAUUCCAAAUGUGACUUGUAAUAAGACUACAACGCAUAGGAUAUGGGUAUUACCUGAAUUGUUCGGGUAGGGUAUAGAUAUUAUCCAAACCCGACCCAUUAAAAAAAAAAAAACCCUUAAACCUGUCUCGCCGUCACUCACACUCUCUCUGCCUCUCCGCAUCUCCUCAUCGUCUCUCCUCACCGCUUCGUGUUGUGGGAAGGUUCUCUCUAUCACAUAUACACACAUUUAUUUGUAGAGGCAUCGAUUUUGCGCUUGAUUCUUGUUCCUCGUUCAUCGUCUCUGGUCUUUCUACCACUCUCUUUCCUCAGGUAAAUGACAUUCUUUUUCCCUCUAUUGCUAGUUUGGUUUUUUGUUCUUUGCUUGUUGUUUACUUGUGUUGUCUUGUUCAAUUUAUCGUCCGGGUGUGUGUUAGAUUUUGGUUUUAGAGUUUGAAUUCAGCUGGGCAUGCGUCGAAUUUGGUUUUUGAUUGAAUUUUAUCAACUGGGUAUGUGUUAGAUUUGGUUUUUGAUUGCAUUAAGGUGUUUGGUUCUAUAUGGGGAUAUGUCGAUUUACAGAGAGGAGUGAAUCUGUCUAAGUUUUUUCACAAACAGAGCAUGUAAGACUUGGUGAUUUGCUUUAAAUUCUUCACUAUCCCCUCUCUUCUCAUCUGCCUCGGUUUCUCAGAACAACAAAUUUCACUUCAACGCCUCAAGCGGUGGAGGGAGGGAGGGCGUGAGUGAAUCCUCAGACACUGUUUUGUCUUCUGUUUUUUCAGGUAUGGGUUUAAGGGUUUUUUUUUCUUUAUUUAUUUUGGUUUUUCCUAGAAAAAUGUGGGAAAAAAGGGAAUUGGGUUUUUUUGAUUGUUUGAUUCUUGAUUAUUUUCUUUGUUAUCUGGGACCCUGAUAACAAAGAAAAAUGUGGGAAAAAAGGGAAAAUUGGAAUGCGUUGUCAACGCAUUCCAAUUUUCCAGGGACUCUGCUCCAACUUGUGGAUGUCACAUCCAUGAACAAUCAAUCAUCUCAAAAGGCUAUCAGAAACAUGAAACUGACAACCCACAUUAGCAAUUUUGCAGCAGGAUUGAAAUGAAACACAUCCCUCUACCUAUUAUCAAAGAUUUAUAGAAACACUUUCUGAUGAAUAGCAAAAAUUUCUGCAAUUCAAAUAAAGGGAGCUCCAUAAGUCCAAACAGAAUGACAGCUUCAUGCAUCAAAUGCCACCUCGGGUAACACCAUUAAAAACAAAAGAAUUAACGCAUUUAAGAAUGGUUAAGCCAAAUAAUAUCCUUUGGGAAGACCAUGAUAUCCAACAUCCUUAACCAUCUUGAUUGACUGUGAGCUCCCAUAAUUGACCUAUUCUUAGUUAAAUCAACUGAUUGAAACAGGACCAAAAUUCUAAAGUUCAACCAAUAGAAACAACAAACUACUUGUACAGGAAUCUGAUUCAGCUAUAAAUGCUAAAAACAUGGUGAUUUAGGAGAUUUACCACCAACAUCAACCUUUAGUUUAUACAAGCUAAAUAUCCAGCAGAGCUGAACCACUUCAACCCUAAUUCCUUUGUGUUAGUGAAGGCAAAAGAUUAGGAAGCAGCCGUAAAUUAUUAACCAUGGAUUUUGUGGAGGCAAUUCAUUUGUUGGUGGGGCAGUAAAAAACUGGCAUGAGUGGUUUAUAAUUAACCAAAAGUAUAUAUAAUUGCCGACUGCGAAUUUGAAAUGGGUUUGAAAGGAAUCUGUUUGGACUUUGGAGCUUAACUGGGUAUUUGACAGGAAGGACACCUUCAAAAAUUUACAAACUUUUUAAAAUAUUUUAAUUUAUAUGGAAAAUGCUCAAAUGCAUAUAAAAUAAUAUUACUUUGCAUGAAAAGUAUUUAACAUGCCAAUAACAUGGCCAAAAUUUCAUGAUUGUCAUGAUUAUUGGGUAUGAGUACAAACAAAUCAAUCAAUUUACAUCUAAGGCUUGUUAAAAGAAAAAUACGAAUACCAAAUUGAUGGUAUUGCAAAGAAGUAGUCAUCACUAGCCAAUUAUUAUUGGGAUAUUAGAAGAAACUAAUAAUACUUUCAAAAGUGUGGAUAAUGAACAAAAGUUGUGGAGAAAAAACAAAUUAAAGUUGUGAAUUUCGCAAGUUUGGAGUAAAAUGAUGGAGUUACGACUAAGGCGUACUUUUCAAUUUUGGUUUAGUGUUAAAAAAGAGAUAAAAAUUGUUCUGUGUGGAUAUGUGGGAGAUUAUGCAGUUAAUAUUAAUAAUGUAGGAUCUUGGAUUCUUGAUUCACAAAAAUUAAACUCUUGAGGCACAUUUACAAUUUUUUUUCCAAAAUAAUUUAAAGUCCGGACAAUCUCCAAAGGUAAUUUUUCAAUUUUUUUUUCUUUCUUUCUUGUAAUUUUAGUUUUCUAUGAUAAAUUAGAAUUGCAAUUGCACAUAAUAUGUUGAAUUAGUCUCUCUUGAAUGUCGUGUUUAUUUUCAGUGUUCAGAGCAUUGCCUAUAUGCUUCAAUCAACAGGAGGUCACAUUUGCCACUUAUUACCGCAAUAGAGAGUAAGAAGAGCUGA
rnacentral:sRNA from 1 species